UUCCUCGCGCCCAACAGAAAUGGGCGACCGCAAGUCUUACUCUCGCCGGCGUUACAAAGUGAGGAAAAAGACAAUUGUCUACAAAGAAAGAGGCUGCCAAGUGGAGACAGAAAAGCAGUUAUGAGACUGAUGAUAGAUUCCAAUUUGUUAUCGAAAGGAAGGAGGAGACCUGAACAGUACAUCCGGAGAAUCCAGCAAAGCAUACUACGGCAUGAACGUGCAAGUGGACAGAAUUAAAACACAUGCCAGAAACACUAAUGGAUUCUAAACAAGAUGCAGUUUCAUUUCCUGAGCCUAUACGUGAUGUUUUUAACUGUUCUCCAGUUAAUAUGUCUCCAUUUCCAGAAAUCUAACAGGAGAAUCUCUGACUGCUUAACAG
rnacentral:lncRNA from 1 species